GUGAGAUCAGAAGAUUCAGCCUCAUCCAUUCAUUCAUUUCAGUAUUCGGUAUUUAGUAUGUGCUGUGUUCUCCAGGCCCUGUCCUAGGCGUGCGAUUCAGGGGUGUACUGUGUGUAUGAGGAAGAAAGAUCUGUGCUGAUGAGGAAACUGAGGCCCAGAGUGAGUAAAUUGCUAACCAUGGGACUACUAGAAAGCUGCAGGGAAAAGAUUCAAAUUUGCCCUUGCAGAGACAAAAAUGGGAGUUGGAGAGAAGAAAGAAAAUGCUGAGCUGGGUGAUGGAGUUGAAUAUCCCAGAGCUGAAAGAAUCUGAGAGGUGGUCUAGCUCACUCACUCAUUUGUUGGGUAUUCCUACCCAAGCCUAACUCUGUGUAGGGAAGUGAGGAUGAGGAAUGAUCAGACUUGGUCCCUGCCUUCAUGGAGCUCACAGUCUAGGGGACAAAGGGGGUGACUUGGGGGUGAGGUAAGAAGUUUAAUGAAUGAUUGUGCUCCCAAGUCUCUGAGCUGGGGACUGAGUGUUCCCUGGGACAGUAGUGGGCAGAGGAGGUGAAACCUCUUCAGCUUGCAGAAGUCAGAAAACACUGCCAGAGGAAGAAUCUACUCAGAGUAAAUGGAAGUUCAACAGCUGAUAAAGAAGGAAACAGCUGGAGAGUAUAAGCACAGAUGCUGCAGAGUGACUCAGUCAUUCCAAUCUCCAAAUACCUGUGUCCUACCUUACAGUGUUAAGGUAAAGAUGGCCCAGGGGGAUGGUACUGGCACCAAAAUGGACAGGUAGAUCAGUGGUACAGAAUAAAGGACACAGACACAAACCCAAAUAAAUACAAUU